rnacentral:rRNA from 1 species
GCACUCUGGAUAAGCCUGGGAAACUGGGUCUAAUACCGGAUAGGACCACAUUUUGGAUGGUGUGGUGGAAAGUUUUUCGGUGUGGGAUGAGCUCGCGGCCUAUCAGCUUGUUGGUGGGGUAAUGGCCUACCAAGGCGUCGACGGGUAGCCGGCCUGAGAGGGUGUACGGCCACAUUGGGACUGAGAUACGGCCCAG